GCGUAAACAAAGGCUCUGCCGCCGCUGUUUAACCAAAUCAUAUCUAUCAGUCAAAACCAGGGACCAAUGCAAUUUUUAUUUUAAUAUACAGCAGCCGUUUUUGGCUGUUCGUCGCGUGUUCAUCUACUUGAUGUUGUUUUACAAUAUAAUUUAGCAUUUGCAGUAUGGUUUGCCCGAUGCCAUAACGUAACGCAUUAUCCGUCGCCGCCGCCACAUAAUCAUCGUACGCGCACGGUGCGUGUGUGUGUAUGUUAUUAUCAUCAUCGCCUCCGUCAUCGUCAUCGUGUCGUCUUAUUUUGGCUAUUCUUGCCAUUCGCUGAGCUUUUAUUCAAUAUUCGUUACCGACAUGGGAACAUCCAGCCAGAUCGACGACUUUUUGGUCGUCCAUUGACCGGCAUUUCGUCGUCGUUUUCCCCGAGUAAGUUAGCAUAAUACAUACAGAUAUCACACAUUGCGCGCCAACCGGGCAACGGAUACCGCGCGCUUCGCCCCCCCCCGCAUACCGCCGUACUUUUACUACCGGUUUUUCAAAAUUUGCACGUAGACGUUAUACGGUAUCUCGUAUAUGAUUUGUACGUGCGUUCAGUUUGAGAUUUGAUUUCGUUUCUCAACGAAAGUUCUACCGCCCUCCUUUCCGUCCGUCGUGUGCGCCAGGCGGUUCGCGGCGAUUGUGUUGGUACGGUCGCGCGCGCGCUAGCCAAAACAUAACCUCUAUGUCCGUGUAUCGUCGUCGCCGCUGCCCGCCACCACUGUUACCGCGUCUGGGUCUCCAUUCAUCCCCUUUGUUUCCGGGACGACUUUAAAAAUCAUACCACCACUUGUCUCCCGCGACGUCUUGUCACGAUCUACCCGGUCUGUCGUGCAAUGUGCCCGGCGUUCAUCAUCACCACGUUUGCUGACUGUAACUCGAUAAAGUACCCCUGACCGACGAUUAUCGUCGGUGGGCACUUGUGUUUCGGCCGACCAAACCCUCAUCGUAACUGGACGGUAAUGCUUUUGUUUGAACACUCUUAUCCUAGAAUAAUAAUAUGUCUCCAUUUGUCAAACUUGAAUUGAACAUUGUCCGAGCAUUUGAUUUUUGUCCAUCUGGUGGCUGGUUUACUUUUGAGAACUUUUGGUCUAAGUUGUUGAUAGAAUUGAUUGUUACCACCACCUAAGACUGAUUUUAAAGUUAACUGCCCUAGGUACCUACUUUGAAAAAAUAGUGUAAUGUGUACUUAUUCUAUGUUUAAAAUAAUACAAUAAAUUUGUUAUUUUAUUCAUUUUUAUUUUUUUUAAUAAGUCCAGAUUUUAUCACUAUUUUGUUAAGCUUGAUAAUCCUAUCCAACCUGAAGUUUCCCUAAAAGACAAGGUAAUACAUUUAUAAGCACAAGCCUGAAAUAUUUAUUUAUUUUGGUUUGUAGUUUUUAAAUAGGUAUACUUAGAUUAAUACCUACCUAUGUCGGUGAAUACUUACAUUUUAUAGAUUUAUUUUAAGUGAUUAUAAAAAUUGUUGGCUUUUACAUUUCUAGCUAAACAGUUUAAUAAUAUUUAAUUUAGCUUACAUUAUUCUGAAUUCAAAUAAAUGCCUACUUCUCAACCUUUAUCUCACAAAAGUGAGGUCUGCUAUUCUUAUUUUCACUGUUUAUAUUUCUUUAUUCAUCAAUAUUCCUUCAUCUUACUAAAUAUUCUACAUAUCGUUAUAUAUUAGCUAGGGCGCCUCUACUUACUAUAUAAAACAAUAUUUAUGUACCAAUUACCUUCAAAUGAAUAUCUUGGGGGGUUGGGUUAUAUCUAUGUCUGAACAAAUAUAUUAUUUAAUUAUUAUAAAUACUAAAAAAGAUUCCUAUGCAUAUCUAUCUAUUUUUAAAAUUACAAUGUAUAUGCUUUAGAACAGUUUAUAAACCCUGUUUAUCCCUUGACUUUCCAUAGAGUAAAAAGUGUAGUCAAUUUUUUUUUUCGUCUCUUGAUUGAACUAUCUUGGGUUUUAUAAAAUUCAAAAAAUGUUUAGAANUAAUUGUUUUCUUUUUAAAGUUUUAGAGUUUCUUACUUACCUUUUAUCUUAUUUAUAAUAUUCCUAUAUAAAGUUGAUAUUUUGAUUAGAUGUAGAUUGAUAACUUAAACAACAAAAUGAUUUUAAAUAAAAAAAAUUUGCCCAUCCCUUGACUUUCCAUAGAGUAAAAAGUGUAGUCAAUUUUUUUUUUCGUCUCUUGAUUGAACUAUCUUGGGUUUUAUAAAAUUCAAAAAAUGUUUAGAAUCUUUUAGUUUUGACCUUUAAAUGACAAAAUAAGUAUUUGGUUUCAUAGUUGCCGUUAGUAUUUUAUUUAUUAUUAUUAUUUUUAUUUUUUAAUGUUUUUUGGGGUUCAAUUUUUAAAUUCAAAUGGGAACCUACUCCUAUUCAAAAUUCCAUACAUAGAGUGUUAGUUUGAAUACAUUUUUGAUGUCUAUUAACCCAUUGAUGAGAUGUUUGAACAUUGAUCCAUUACUCUACCCUUGUAAUGUUUUUAAGACUUUAAAAUUUAAACUAUGUAUUGACAAAUGUUUAAUAUACCUAUGUAUGGUUUAAUUAUGAAUUCUUUUCAAUAACCAUAGAUUAUUUAAAUCAAAAAAGGCACAAAAUACAAACUUGUUUAUAUAUUAUAAAAUAUGUAGAAAUAAAUUAUUAGAACUUAUUAGAACAACCAAAGUACAAUAUUAUAAAGAUAAAUUUAUUUAGAGACGUUUAUAAAUUGAAGGUUAGACCAAGUUAAGGUAGCUUGUGAAUAUUGUUUUAAUGAAUCAUUUCUAAUUUUUUUUGAACAGAAAGAUGUGUUAAAUGUAGGUAAUGAAAAUUUAAAGGAUGCAACAGCAUUUUACUUUGAUAGAUUAACGGUUAAAAUUUUAAAAACCAUCAGAAAUUAUAUUAUGUCACCUUAAGUAUUUAUUUUAUAUUUACUUAUGCAUAAAAUAAGAUUCUUUCCUAAAGAAAUAUAAAAUAGCUAUAGUUUACUCAUUGUAUAAAUUAAGGAGGAAAAAAAAUGUAUCUAACAUAGGCCAAUAUUUCUGUCAAUAUCUAUGAUGUUAAAUCAAAAUGUAUAACAUUAGAGCGUUAUAAACUAUUAUCAAAUAAUCAAUCUUGUUUUUGACCUGAUAAAGGUAUUAUAAAAACUUUAUUCAAUGACCAAGUUCAUAUAUUAAAAAUUAGAUAAUAGUGAAAAAGUUAAAAUAUUAUUAUUUGCAAUAUUUUUGGAUUUAACAAAGUAUAUAAUUAAUUACAUAUUUAGGUUUAAUUAUAGACUGGAAUUUGAGAUAGAAUUUACAUAUUUAGAAUACUUACAAUGCGCUUGGGAGUUUUAUAAUCUAAACAAAAUGUUACCUGCUGAAGUCAUGCAUACUGUACGCUCUAUACAAGUCUAUCAUGCAAUAUGGUCUAGUUGUCUGGGAAAGGUGUGUGGAUAUUGUAAUGAUAUUCUUUAAUAGUGAAACAAAAUUUAGCUGUCAGAAUAUGUUUGAACAAAAAGAAACAUAGAGAUCAUCAUAUUUAAAUUGCAAAUCGCUAAAAGUAUUGCUUGUUAACGCUUAAUAAGUUCUUUGUUAUUUUUGAUAUCUCAAAAAAAAAAAAAUAACGAAACAUGAAAAUAAACAUGAUUUUAGAGCAUAUGGUGUUGUAUAAAAUAUACAAAUAAACAAUUCUGUACAGAAGUUGGUUGAUUAUUUGGGUUAGUGAAUUUAAACUGUACCUAAAGAUUAGUAAUAUGUAUAGUGCUAAUCUAAAGUAUAAUUAUACGCACAAUAAAAUAAUUAUUAAAUAAAAGAUAAUAUUGUAUAUUUGUACAUUUUUAUAUUUAAAAGACAAAAGCUGUAUUCUCAUAUAUAAAGCUUAAACAUCUUUUGUUUUUGUAACUUAUUUGCCCCACCACAAGAAACACUUUUUGGCGGGGCAAUUAAUCAAAUUGUAUUUUAUAUUUUGUAUUGUGUAUGUUAUAGUUUAUGAAGUCCCUAAGAUGGCCAUGUGUGAUAAUUCCACCUAGGUAGUACUCAAAAGCUGAAGAGUGUGUCUUAUUAAUGGAUAACAUAACAAAAUUAUAUUAUUUUUUUAAAUUGGGAUAGUUUGAAUUGAGAGUUUAAACACAGAUAACAAAAUUGGUUGUAUCCUAGUCAUUGGGCACUCGGGUAGAUAAUUGGGAACUGGCCGCCCACUACUCAAUUUCAUUGUAUUAUCACUGUAGGCAGGUUCAAGUACAAUAGUCUUGUCAAUAAUACUUAAAAUUAAUUAUUUUAAAAUCAACACAAAAUUUGUAUAUGUCCGUUAAUUUAUUUAACUUGAUAUUAAAUGUUUUUUUUUCAAAAAACUCGUCUUUUAUCUAGACCUAAUUGGUGUUCUUUUAUUAAUUUAUCAUUUGAAAAUAAAUACAAUGUAUUACUGUUUACUUCUUUGGUCUAAACUUUAAACGGUUAUAACUCAUAAACAGUAAAUCUGAUAUAGAUGUUAAUUAUGCAUAUCAAAAUUUCUAGGAAAAUAUUCACUAUUCGAAUCUGUAUUUAAAAACAAAAGUAUAUAUUUAUUUAAGAUAUAUGGAGUAGGGAUACAAAAUUAAAAACCAUUUAAAAUAAAGCUUAAACGAUUCCACAAUGAUUAAAAAAAAAAAAACAAUCUAAUUAUCUUAGAAUAUUACUGAUUCAUAAUUGUCCUGUAUUUUAGAAAAGAACAAAUGUGUGAUGCCCUCAAAAUUAUUAUUGUUUUUAUUUUUUAGAUUUUGAGUGGAGCAUUCUGGGGUGGCAUUUUAAGGAAGUCAUUUUUUGAUUUUCCUUGAAGUUUUCCAAUAAAUGGGAAUAGUGGGAGAAUAGGUACAAUAUUAAACAACUAUUAUUAUAGAAAAUAUAUAAUGAAUAUUAUGUAAUUAUUUUAAAAUAAUAUGACAUACAUUGUUGACAAAGUAAUACUAUCAACUGAACUCCACUCAGCAUUAUUUUUUCGUUAGUAAUGGUUUAUUGUUGCCUACAGAUAUACAUUAAAUUACUUACAACAGUGCCUAUACACAUCCCCAUUAAUGUAGUACAGCUUUUUGUUAUCUGUUUUAUAAACUUUAAUUUCAACCUAAGUACCAGAAUUUAAAUUUCAAGUAUUUAAUGUAAUAAUUUUGCUAUGUAUGUUGUCUAUUAAUCGGACAGAUAUUAAAUGCUGGGUGUAUUAUUUUUCUAGCUUUAAAAUGGCAUAGAACUAAUUAGACUAGCAUACCUAAUAAUAACAAUUUUUUAAUUUGAGUUUACUAAAUAAAUAUACAAUUUACAGUCAAUAUAAUAUAUUCAAAUAACAAUAGUAAGAGACAUAUCUACCUAAUUUAAAUUUAAUUCUUAUAUAAAAUAUUAAUUUCAAAUAACUACCGUAAGAAAUAAUUAUUAUGAAUUCUACAAAUUAUUUUUUUUAUUUAUUUAUGAGUUUUAAUCAUUUUAUAAUUUUGUUUUUACUUAUUUAUUUUUAUUUCAUCAAGACAUGUUUUUUGAUAAUUUUUUCUAUUAAUUUUAACCGUUAAUAAUUUAUUAAAAAAUAAAAAAUUUUUAAAAUGAACAAGAAAUAAUAAAUAUUAGUGAUGAUUGAUUACUGAAGUUUAAGUUAAAUUUUUAAUGAAAAAAGUAUCAAAUAAUUAAAGUAAUUUUGUACCUAUUUAUUGCAAUGAAACAUAUUAACCUCCAAAUCAUAAUAUAUUAAUGAUUUACCUAAUUUAUAUUUUAAUGGAAAAUAAUAAACAAUUUAAAUAUUCAGUGAAUGUACCUAAUAUCUAUAUAAUGCUAUUAAAAUAGUUAUUUUUAUAUUUCUUUUAAAUAUAAGUGAAUAUACAUAUGUUCUGAAUAUAUAUAAACAUAUCUAAUAGAUAUUGUUUUAUACAUCUCGAUGUUGGUUGAAAAUAUAAUAUUUUGACAAUACAAACACAAUUAUGGUUUUUAUUUUGGUAUAAUAUGAAAAUGAUUGAAUUAACAAAACAAAAUAAUUUAAUAUUUAAUUUAAUUCACUUUAGUUUUAAUUAUUAAAUUAUUUGUUUGUUUUUAGAUUUAUUAGCUGUGGAAAUAUAUUUUAAAAUAUGUCAAAAGCAUGCAGAAUGUUGAAUCUGGACGAAGAUGGAUCUUCAACUCCGAAUACAGCAAUAAUAAAAUUAGGUUAGUAAAACUUAAUUCUUAUCUAGAAUUUAAAUAUUUAUAUUUAAAUAAUAAGUAUUUUGGUACUAAGUAUGCAAAAUGGAUUUCAAACAAAAAUAUCUAAAAGUAUUAUUUUAUUUUACACACAAGAUCUUCCUUAUUUUAUGUGACUGUUUUCACUACCUAAUAUUAAAUUUUCAAACAUUUUGCUAAGCCAGUAACUUGUAUUCAUAUAAUAUGAAAAAUAGUUUAUGAAAUUUAAUGAUUUUUUAAAAUUUUUAUCAAAAUUUUGUGUUAAACACUUUAAAAAAAAAUUGUGUUCAUUGGUUUUUCAAUAUUCUUAUAGUAUUAUAAGAACAACUUAAUAUGGUGAAUUAUGUACUUAAUUUUCGAGCAUUAUUGAGUUUUCAAAAUUAUUUGAUCACAUAAAACCAAACGAAAUCUAAUAUAAAAUUUAAAAUUGCUAUGUACAAUUUAAAAACAGUAAGAAAAAGUAAAUGUACCUCAUAGAAUUUUGUAUUGUUCUAAAUAUACAGCUCAAAAUAAAAGACACAGAAACUUUUUUUUAAAUAUAAUUUUGAAUAGUUCAUGUUUCAAAAAACCUAUGUGAUUCUCUCCAAAAAUUACUGUUUUGUAUACAUUUCAUAACAGUUACUUUUUCUUUAAAAUCAAAAUUAAGCUAGUUUUAAUUAGUAAGCAUUAUUUUUGCAUCUUGCCCAGUAGUUGGACUGAGACAGUAAAUGCGGGUGUAAUAUUAUGAAGUCAAUGGAUUUCAUAUUAUUAUUUUAAUAUCUUUUGCCAAUCAAUAUAAUUUUCAAUUUUAAUUUAGCAACAAAAUGUUUAAAUAGGGUUUAUUCAAAAUCGUAUUAUGUUUGAAAUGAUUUAUUGUUGCAUUCAGGAUUUAAGGUGCAUUUACAUGGCGACUGUACUACCACAACAUUCUACAGCAGUUACUGUCACAGGAGGAGUACUGUUUACACGUGAAUGCAAAUUAAUAUGCAGUUGUGGCAGCCAUAAGCUAUUAUCACCUAUUAUUUUCAUUUAUUAUUAUUAUUAUUAUUAUAAUAUAUUUAAAUUGAAAUAUUAUAGGUGUACAAUUUAUUAAAGAUAGCAGAUAUAAUAGAUUUCUUAGUUAUAAGAGUUAUGAUUAGGGCUGAGAUUUAUAUGUAAUUACAUAUUUUUAUUAACACAUGAUAAAUUAAUCAGGACAAAUGAGAUUUUGUGAUUUUAGAACAUGUGAAAUAAGACAAAUUUCAUUUUACAUUUUUCAUCUUAAAUACAUAUUUUUACACGAGUUGUAAAAUUUCCUCUUUUCAUAACCUAUUUUGUCAAUUUACAUCAUUAAA
rnacentral:lncRNA from 1 species